UUAGCGGCGGACGGGUGAGUAACACGUGAGUAACCUGCCUUAGACAUUGGGAUAGCCUCGGGAAACCGGGAUUAAUACCAAAUAAAAUCAUAAUGACACAUGUCAUAACGAUCAAAACUCCGGUGGUCUAAGAUGGACUCGCGUCCCAUUAGCUAGUUGGUAGAGUAAAAGCCUACCAAGGCGACGAUGGGUAGCCGGCCUGAGAGGGUGAACGGCCACAUUGGGACUGAGAUACGGCCCAG
rnacentral:rRNA from 1 species